GGGGCCAUAGCUCAGUGGUAGAGCUUCUGCUUUGGAUGCAGAAGGUCCCAGGUUCAAUCCCAGGGGUCUCCA